GACGAACGCUGGCGGCGUGCUUAACACAUGCAAGUCGAACGGAAAGGCCCUGCUUUUGUGGGGUGCUCGAGUGGCGAACGGGUGAGUAACACGUGAGUAACCUGCCCUUGACUUUGGGAUAACUUCAGGAAACUGGGGCUAAUACCGGAUAGGAGCUCCUGCUGCAUGGUGGGGGUUGGAAAGUUUCGGCGGUUGGGGAUGGACUCGCGGCUUAUCAGCUUGUUGGUGGGGUAGUGGCUUACCAAGGCUUUGACGGGUAGCCGGCCUGAGAGGGUGACCGGCCACAUUGGGACUGAGAUACGGACCAGACUCCUACGGGAGGCAGAAGUGGGGAAUAUUGCACAAUGGGCGGAAGCCUGAUGCAGCAACGCCGCGUGCGGGAUGACGGCCUUCGGGUUGUAAACCGCUUUCGCCUGUGACGAAGCGUGAGUGACGGUAAUGGGUAAAGAAGCAACGGCUAACUACGUG
rnacentral:rRNA from 1 species